rnacentral:lncRNA from 1 species
AAUGAUCUCUAUCAUAGUAUCAUUGAAACUCUUUUCAAUGGAUCGGAACAAUUCCACUCUAACUCAUCAAAGAUUGUCAAUCUGGAGGAACCCUAGUAAGCUCUUACAAUCCACUAGUGAUACCUAGUAGUAUGUAGUGAAAACUCAGUAGAACUGAAAUAGAACCUCAAGGUGUAGUUCACAUGUGAUUUCUCUCUCUAUCAUGAGUCCCGACAGAUGGUAGGUCAUGGAUAAAUCGUCAAACUUCAUCAUCCGUUAUAUGAUAGAUUUGAUUACCUCAAGUCUAUUUGUGAUUCUUAUGGAAAUUUUUUUCAUCAAUCAUACUGCUGUGGUCAUAGAUUCUCAGACUUAGCC